rnacentral:rRNA from 1 species
AUUGAACGCUGGCGGCAUGCCUUACACAUGCAAGUCGAACGGCAGCACGGGAGCAAUCCUGGUGGCGAGUGGCGAACGGGUGAGUAAAGUAUCGGAACGUGCCCAGGCGUGGGGGAUAACGUAGCGAAAGUUACGCUAAUACCGCAUACGAUCUAUGGAUGAAAGCGGGGGAUUGCAAGACCUCGCGCGAUUGGAGCGGCCGAUAUCAGAUUAGGUAGAUGGUGGGGUAAAGGCUCACCAAGCCGACGAUCUGUAGCUGGUCUGAGAGGACGACCAGCCACACUGGGACUGAGACACGGCCCAGACUCCUACGGGAGGCAGCAGUGGGGAAUUUUGGACAAUGGGCGAAAGCCUGAUCCAGCCAUGCCGCGUGCAGGAUGAAGGCCUUCGGGUUGUAAACUGCUUUUGUACGGAACGAAAAGGUUUGGCCUAAUAAGCUGAGCUCAUGACGGUACCGUAAGAAUAAGCACCGGCUAACUACGUGCCAGCAGCCGCAGUAA